rnacentral:rRNA from 1 species
AGAGUUUGAUCCUGGCUCAGGAUGAACGCUGGCGGUAUGCUUAACACAUGCAUGUCGAACGAACCCUUCGGGGUUAGUGGCGGACGGGUGAGUAACGCGUGAGGAUCUGCCCUUAGGAGGGGAACAACAGUUGGAAACGACUGCUAAUGCCCCAUAUGCCGAGAGGUGAAACAGUUAAUUCUGCCUAGGGAUGAACUCGCGUCUGAUUAGCUAGUUGGUUGGGUAAUGGCCGACCAAGGCGACGAUCAGUAGCUGGUCUAAGAGGAUGAUCAGCCACACUGGGACUGAGACACGGCCCAGACUCCUACGGGAGGCAGCAGUGGGGAAUUUUCCGCAAUGGGCGAAAGCCUGACGGAGCAAUACCGCGUGAGGGAGGAAGGCCUUAGGGUUGUAAACCUCUUUUCUCUGGGAAGAAGAUCUGACGGUACCAGAGGAAUAAGCCUCGGCUAACUCCGUGCCAGCAGCCGCGGUAAGACGGAGGAGGCAAGCGUUAUCCGGAAUUAUUGGGCGUAAAGCGUCCGUAGGCGGUUAAUUAAGUCUGUUGUUAAAGCCCACAGCUCAACUGUGGAUCGGCAAUGGAAACUGGUUGACUAGAGUGUGGUAGGGGUAGAGGGAAUUCCCGGUGUAGCAGUGAAAUGCGUAGAUAUCGGGAAGAACACCAGUGGCGAAGGCGCUCUACUGGGCCACAACUGACGCUGAUGGACGAAAGCUAGGGGAGCGAAAGGGAUUAGAUACCCCUGUAGUCCUAGCUGUAAACGAUGGAUACUAGGUGUUGGACGUAUCGACCCGUGCAGUACCGUAGCUAACGCGUUAAGUAUCCCGUCUGGGGAGUACGCACGCAAGUGUGAAACUCAAAGGAAUUGACGGGGGCCCGCACAAGCGGUGGAGGAUGUGGUUUAAUUCGAUGCAACGCGAAGAACCUUACCAAGGCUUGACAUCCUGCGAAUCUUUCAGAGAUGAGAGAGUGCCUUCGGGAGCGCAGAGACAGGUGGUGCAUGGCUGUCGUCAGCUCGUGUCGUGAGAUGUUGGGUUAAGUCCCGCAACGAGCGCAACCCUCGUCCUUAGUUGCCAUCAUUAAGUUGGGCACUCUGGGGAGACUGCCGGGGACAACUCGGAGGAAGGUGGGGACGACGUCAAGUCAUCAUGCCCCUUACGUCUUGGGCUACACACGUCCUACAAUGCUACAGACAGAGGGCAGCAAGCGCGCGAGUGCAAGCAAAUCCCAUAAACUGUGGCUCAGUUCAGAUUGCAGGCUGCAACUCGCCUGCAUGAAGGCGGAAUCGCUAGUAAUCGCAGGUCAGCAUACUGCGGUGAAUACGUUCCCGGGCCUUGUACACACCGCCCGUCACACCAUGGGAGUUGGCCACGCCCGAAGUCGUUACUCUAACCGUUCGCGGAGGAGGGCGCCGAAGGCAGGGCUGAUGACUGGGGUGAAGUCGUAACAAGGUA